UACAGAGGGUGCAAGCGUUGUUCGGAUUUACUGGGCGUAAAGGGCGCGUAGGCGGAUUUUUAAGUCAGGGGUGAAAUCCCAAGGCUCAACCUUGGAACUGCCUUUGAUACUGGGGAUCUUGAGUCCGGGAGAGGUGAGUGGAACUGCGAGUGUAGAGGUGAAAUUCGUAGAUAUUCGCAAGAACACCAGUGGCGAAGGCGGCUCACUGGCCCGGAACUGACGCUGAGGCGCGAAAGCGUGGGGAGCAAACAGG
rnacentral:rRNA from 1 species